rnacentral:rRNA from 1 species
GGGGCGGCAUACAUGGCAAGUCGAGCGAAGCGAUUAAGAGGAAGUUUUCGGAUGGAAUCUUAAUUGACUGAGCGGCGCACGGGUGAGUAACGCGUAAGGAACCUGCCUUUUAGAGGGGAAUAACAAUGAGAAAUCAUUGCUAAUACCGCAUAUGCCAUAAUUAUCACAUGAUAAUAGUGGGAAAGGAGCAAUUCGCUAAAAGAUGGCCUUGCGUCUGAUUAGAUAGUUGGUAAGGUAACGGCUUACCAAGUCGACGAUCAGUAGCCGGACUGAGAGGUUGAACGGCCACAUUGGGACUGAGAUACGGCCCAGACUCCUACGGGAGGCAGCAGUCGGGAAUAUUGCGCAAUGGAGGAAACUCUGACGCAGUGACGCCGCGUAUAGGAAGAAGGUUUUCGGAUUGUAAACUAUUGUCGUUAGGGAAGAGAAAGGACAGUACCUAAGGAGGAAGCUCCGGCUAACUACGUGCCAGCAGCCGCGGUAAUACGUAGGGAGCGAGCGUUGUCCGGAAUUAUUGGGUGUAAAGGGUGCGUAAACGGGAAAGCAAGUUAGUUGUGAAAUCCCUCGGCUUAACUGAGGAACUGCAACUAAAACUACUUUUCUUGAGUGCAGGAGAGGUAAGUGGAAUUCCUAGUGUAGCGGUGAAAUGCGUAAAUAUUAGGAGGAACACCAAUGGCGAAGGCGACUUACUGGACUGUAACUGACGUUGAGGCACGAAAGUGUGGGGAGCAAACAGGAUUAAAUACCCUGGUAGUCCACACCGAAACGAUGGAUACUAGGUGUAGGAGAUAUUAAGUCUUCUGUGCCGUCCGCAAAGCAAUAAAUAUUCCACCCUGGAAAUACGAACCCC